rnacentral:rRNA from 1 species
UUUAGCAUGGAAUAAUAGAAUAGGACGCGCGCUCCCAUUUUGUUGGUUUCUGAGAUCGCCGUAAUGAUUAAUAGGGAUAGUUGGGGGCAUUCGUAUUCCGUCGUCAGAGGUGAAAUUCUUGGAUUGCCGGAAGACGAACUAUUGCGAAAGCAUUUGCCAAGGAUGCUUUCAUUGAUCAAGAACGAAGGAAGGGGGAUCGAAAACGAUCAGAUACCGUUGUAGUCUCUUCUGUAAACUAUGCCAAUUGGGGAUUAGCUCAGGAUUUUUAAUGACUGAGUUAGCACCCGAAGAGAAAUCUUUAAAUGAGGUUCGGGGGGGAGUAUGGUCGCAAGGCUGAAACUUAAAGGAAUUGACGGAAGGGCACCACCAGGUGUGGAGCCUGCGGCUUAAUUUGACUCAACACGGGGAAACUCACCAGGUCCAGACACAAUAAGGAUUGACAGAUUGAUAGCUCUUUCUUGAUCUUGUGGUUGGUGGUGCAUGGCCGUUCUUAGUUGGUGGAGUGAUUUGUCUGGUUAAUUCCGAUAACGAACGAGACCUUAACCUGCUAAAUAGACCAGCCGGCUUUGGCUGGCUGCUGUCUUCUUAGAGGGACUAUCAGCGUUUAGCUGAUGGAAGUUUGAGGCAAUAACAGGUCUGUGAUGCCCUUAGAUGUUCUGGGCCGCACGCGCGCUACACUGACAGAGCCAGCGAGUCUACCACCUUGGCCGGAAGGCCUGGGUAAUCUUGUGAAACUCUGUCGUGAUGGGGAUAGGGCAUUGCAAUA